AAGUCGUAACAAGGUUUCCGUAGGUGAACCUGCGGAAGGAUCAUUAAAAACGAUCACCGGUGUAUCCCAGCGACGUCGUUGACUCGACCCUGUGGGGCUGUCUUAAACUCACAGCAUUGCCAGUCGCGCGGAAUACUGAUGCCCUAGCCUUCAGGCUAGGGGCCGAGUGAAUCCCACCCGUGUCUACAUACUCUUGUUGCUUUGGCGGGCCGUGGCCUCCACUGUGGGCUCUGCCUGCAUGUGCCCGCCAGAGGAUCCAACUCUGAAUUUUAGUAAUGUCUGAGUACUAUAUAAUAGUUA
rnacentral:misc_RNA from 1 species